rnacentral:siRNA from 1 species
AGAAUCAGUGGUCAUGGAGGUUCA